GACGAACGCUGGCGGCGUGCUUAACACGUGCAAGUCGAACGGAAAGGCCCUGCUUUUGUGGGGUGCUCGAGUGGCGAACGGGUGAGUAACACGUGAGUAACCUGCCCUUGACUUUGGGAUAACUUCAGGAAACUGGGGCUAAUACCGGAUAGGAGCUCCUGCUGCAUGGUGGGGGUUGGAAAGUUUCGGCGGUUGGGGAUGGACUCGCGGCUUAUCAGCUUGUUGGUGGGGUAGUGGCUUACCAAGGCUUUGACGGGUAGCCGGCCUGAGAGGGUGACCGGCCACAUUGGGACUGAGAUACGGCACAGACUCCUACGGGAGGCAGCAGUGGGGAAUAUUGCACAAUGGGCGGAAGCCUGAUGCAGCAACGCCGCGUGCGGGAUGACGGCCUUCGGGUUGUAAACCGCUUUCGCCUGUGACGAAGCGUGAGUGACGGUAAUGGGUAAAGAAGCACCGGCUAACUACGUG
rnacentral:rRNA from 1 species